AUUGAACGCUGGCGGCAGGCCUAACACAUGCAAGUCGAACGAGUGGCGGACGGGUGAGUAAUGUCUGGGAAACUGCCUGAUGGAGGGGGAUAACUACUGGAAACGGUAGCUAAUACCGCAUACCAUCGGAUGUGCCCAGAUGGGAUUAUCUAGUCGGGGGGGUAACGGCUCACCUAGGCGACGAUCCCUAGCUGGUCUGAGAGGAGGACAAGCCACACUGGAACUGAGACACGGUCCAGACUCCUACGGUAGGCAGCAGUGGGGAAUAUUGCACAAGUGGCGCAAGCCUGAUGCAGCCAUGCCGCGUGUAUGAAGAAGGCCUUCGGGUUGUAAAGUACUUUCAGCGGGGAGGCGUUACCCGCAGAAGAAGCACCGGCUAACUCCGUGCCAGCAGCCGCGGUAAUAC
rnacentral:rRNA from 1 species